AUUGAACGCUGGCGGCAUGCUUUACACAUGCAAGUCGAACGGUAACAGGCCGCAAGGUGCUGACGAGUGGCGAACGGGUGAGUAAUGCAUCGGAACGUGCCCAGUCGUGGGGGAUAACUACUCGAAAGAGUAGCUAAUACCGCAUACGAUCUAUGGAUGAAAGCGGGGGACCGUAAGGCCUCGCGCGAUUGGAGCGGCCGAUGUCAGAUUAGGUAGUUGGUGGGGUAAAGGCUCACCAAGCCAACGAUCUGUAGCUGGUCUGAGAGGACGACCAGCCACACUGGGACUGAGACACGGCCCAGACUCCUACGGGAGGCAGCAGUGGGGAAUUUUGGACAAUGGGCGCAAGCCUGAUCCAGCAAUGCCGCGUGCAGGAAGAAGGCCUUCGGGUUGUAAACUGCUUUUGUACGGAACGAAACGGCUCUGGUUAAUACCCGGGGCUAAUGACGGUACCGUAAGAAUAAGCACCGGCUAACUGCGUG
rnacentral:rRNA from 1 species